ensembl:lncRNA
CUACUGAGCAUCUCGCAUCCACCCCCAUUCCUGCAAAAAGCAACUUCUUAAUCCGACAGCUCAUUGUUGUUCUUGUCUCUGUCUUCAUCUAGUUCUGCCACAGAGAUAGAGAAUAUCAGAAUCCCAGGGUCUCUCAAUCCAAGCCUUGUAAAAAACCCUCUGGGCUCUUCAUGCUGGGAGGGGUCCCCUCCAGGAUUCCCAAGACAGCCCCUGUCAAGACCCAAGGUUACCUACUUCUUCGUUGACAUCUAGCAAGAUGGGGAACCGAGGCCAGAGAGAGAGAAGGCCUGUUCUAAGAUCACAGCAGAGAAGAGCUGGGACCACGACCCACCCCUUUAAUCUGCAGACUUGAUCCUAUUUCCACUCUACUCUAAUUCGACCUUGUUCAGGCCAACUCAGGAAAUAUUAAGUGGUCAUCAAUGUGGGUUCAGAUCAAUCAAUUUCUCCCCAAACCUUAAUGAACUACUUCGGAAGCAUCACAUUUUAAACACUUCCAACAAAUU